CCUACGGGAGGCAGCAGUGAGGAAUAUUCCACAAUGGGGGAAACCCUGAUGGAGCGAUGCCGCGUGCAGGAAGACGCUUUUCGGAGUGUAAACUGCUUUUAACAAGGAAGAUUAUGACGGUACUUGUAGAAUAAGGACCGGCUAACUACGUGCCAGCAGCCGCGGUAAUACGUAGGGUCCAAGCGUUAUUCGGAAUUACUGGGCGUAAAGCGUUCGUAGGCGGUUUGAUAAGUUGGAUGUGAAAUCCUGUGGCUCAACCACAUGGACUGUGUCCAAAACUAUCUGACUAGAGCAUAGUAGAGGCAAGUGGAAUUUGCGGUGUAGGAGUGACAUCCGUAGAUAUCGCAAGGAACACCAAUGGCGAAGGCAGCUUGCUGGGCUAUUGCUGACGCUCAGGAACGAAAGCGUGGGGAGCGAACGGGAUUAGAUACCCCGGGUAGUCCACGCCGUAAACGAUGAUCACUAGCAGUAUGGAGAUUCGACCCUCUGUGUUGCCACAGCUACGCGUAGUGAGUCGCCGUGGGAGGUACGGGCGGCGAGAACGUUAAACGUACGUUAAAGAAGUAGUUACGGCGUGAGACGUUGCGACGGACGACGACGAGGGAGGAGG
rnacentral:rRNA from 1 species